CACGUAGGGUGCAAGCGUUGUCCGGAAUUAUUGGGCGUAAAGGGCUCGUAGGCGGUCCGUCACGUCGGGAGUGAAAACUCGGGGCUCAACCCCGAGCCUGCUUUCGAUACGGGCGGACUAGAGGUAGGUAGGGGAGAACGGAAUUCCUGGUGUAGCGGUGGAAUGCGCAGAUAUCAGGAGGAACACCGGUGGCGAAGGCGGAUCUCUGGGCCUUACCUGACGCUCAGGCGCGAAAGCUAGGGGAGCGAACAGG
rnacentral:rRNA from 1 species